AAGGUUCCAAUACGUCAGUUCUACACGUGAUCGCCGAGGGGCCAUUCACACCUUUGGCACAUUCACACCUGCCUAAUUAUAUGGAGGUCCAGUUAGGUAAGGGGGUAUUUUGAGCCUAAAAGAGGGAGAAAAAAAAGACUUCCACCUUAUUCUUAGCCCUCUUCCUCCUCCUUAUAACUCCUUCCUAUUCCACUUCCUUAUACUUAUUACUCGUUCCAUUACAUCUCUUCUUCCUUCUCUUCCAUCAAAAAUAGCUCCAUCUACUUUUUUUUCUUCUACCACUUUUACUACUUCUGCUACAACAUAUACUACUGCGAGCGCAAUGGGUGGCAGUUCGUCGACAUUUGGGGCCUCCUCUUUGGCAGCGGCGCCCUCUACGCCCGUGACGGGAUACACUUGACGUUCAAGGGUGUUGAGGCUCACUCAGACUCCCUUGAGCGAGCACUUAGUACCCUGAGGGAUUUUUUGGUAUAGACGAGGGGGGGGAGGAGUAAUGGGAGAGGACAUCUAGCUCAUAAUACAACCAGGAAAAUAUAAUAAAAAGGAAAUAUCAAAAGUAAGAAAAAGAGGAGACGAAAGCUGCACCGCGAGCCGUCGCGAGGAUUCCUCUGGAGGCCCUGCGGCCUUCCAUCUCAGAACCGAUUAAACUCGGUGACCGGCGACUUUACGGUAUAUUUAUGAUUAAUUUCAUAAUCCAGUCUGGUAGUUUUAAGAAGCGAGUUCUUGCAUUCGCCCUCCUCGCCUCGGCGGGGCGGGGCAGCGCCAGCGAGCCCAAGGUCUCCCUGGCGAGCGUGGCAGGAGUGGAGGGCUCCAGGCAAGGCACCUGUGCGUCCCCCGGGGCCCCGACGGAGGUGCCCGAGAUCUUCCGGCUACAAAGCCGAGCAGUGAGGUUCCACAACCGUGGUAGGCAAUAUGCCUAAGAGAGCAAACUCCGAACAACAAACCGGGCAGGUGGGGCUCGUUAGCCGUGGUAGGCAAUUCACCUAGGAGAGCAAACUCUAAACAAACCCGGGCAGGUGGAGCUCGUUAGCCGUGGUAGGCAAUUCACCUAGGAGAGCAAACUCUAAACAAACCCGGGCAGGUGGAGCUCGUUAGCCGUGGUAGGCAGUUCACCUAGGAGAGCAAACUCUAAACAAACCCGGGCAGGUGGAGCUCGUUAGCCGUGGUAGGCAGUUCACCUAGGAGAGCAAACUCCGAACAACAAACCCGGGCAGGUGGAGCUCGUUAGCCGUGGUAGGCAGUUCACCUAGGAGAGCAAACUCCGAACAACAAACCCGGGCAGGUGGAGCUCGUUAGCCGUGGUAGGCAGUUCACCUAGGAGAGCAAACUCUAAACAAACCCGGGCAGGUGGAGCUCGUUAGCCGUGGUAGGCAGUUCACCUAGGAGAGCAAACUCCGAACAACAAACCCGGGCAGGUGGAGCUCGUUAGCCGUGGUAGGCAGUUCACCUAGGAGAGCAAACUCCGAACAACAAACCCGGGCAGGUGGAGCUCGUUAGCCGUGGUAGGCAGUUCACCUAGGAGAGCAAACUCCGAACAACAAACCCGGGCUUGUGAUGCCCGUUAGAUGUCGUAGACAAUCCACGUGAUGGGAACACCAAAGAAAAGGAAAAGGAAAAAGAACACCAGAAAAAGGAAAAUAUAGAAACGAAACAUCGAGAAAAGAAAAAGCAAACACACAUCAUCCACUUUUCGGCCCUAACUAACAUCACCAAAAUUAUGGGUGAGUCUUUUCUGGGGAGAAAAGGGCUCAUCCAGACCCAAGAACAUCAACAAGGGAUGAUAUAGAAAAGAUCAUCAAGAAGGAAUGAAAAGAGAAAAAGAAGAGAAAGAACAUCGAAAAAGAAAAGUGACACCAAUAAAAGAACAUCAAGAAAAGAAAAGCACAAAGAAACAUCAUCCACCUUUCGGCCGACACUAACAUCACCAAAAUUAUGGGUGUCUCUCUUCUGGGAGGAAAGAGGCGCACCCAGACCAUCGAAGAACAUCAACAAAAGGAUGAUAUAGAAAAGAACAUCCAGAAAGAAAAGGAGAUAGAAAAGAAAAAAAUAUCGAAAAAAAUAACAUCAAUAAAAAGAACAACAAGAAAACCACGACAUCAAGAAAAGACAAGAAACAUCAUCCAACUUUCGGCCAACACUAACAUCACCAAAAUUAUGGGCGAGUCUCUUCUGGGGAGAAAAAGGCUCAUCCAGACCAAAGAACAUCAACAAGGGAUGAUAUAGAAAAGAACACCAAAAAAUAUAGAGAAGAAAAAAGAACAAAAGAACAUCGAAAAAGAAGAGUAACAGCAGCAAAAAACAACAUCAAGAAAAGAAAAAUACAAACAUCAUCCACCUUUCGGCCCUCACUAACAUCACCAAAAUUAUGGGUGGGUCUCUUCUGGGAGGAAAGAGGCGCACCCAGACCCUCGAAAAACAUCAACAAAGAGGAUGAUAUGAAAAAAAAAGAACAUCAAAGGGAAACAUCAAAAAGAAAA